CAUGGUGGAGGUGGACUGAUGGUUGGACUAUACUAUCUUAGUGGUCUUUUCCAACCCUAAUGACUAUAUGAUCCUAUGAUUCUGUGGUUCUAAGUUUUGUUAUUCUGGCUGAUGUCAGUCUUAUUAUCAUUACUGAAGUCAUACCACACAAGUCGGAAAAGCUUGUGGAAGAGCAUCUGUGUCUCUCUCUCUCUCUCGUUAUGAUAGCUGCUACCUGCUGGAAUUCCUUAGAGCUACACUGAAGAUAUGCUCGUCUAAGGAUCAAGGGCAAGCAUACAAUUCCUAUUAAUAAGAGAGUCAUUCUAUAGUGCAAUCCAUACUUGUAAUGACUGUGCAUUAUUCACACUAUUACAGCAUUAAGCCAUUAGAAUUUGAUCAUUGAACAGGAGCAGUUACAAUAAGAAGAGGGAAGAGGAUCCUUUUAUAUCAUUGUAUAACUCCUGGCUACGAAAUUCUUCUGUGAAUAAAAGCACUUCAUCAUAUUUAUGUAUCUUGUUCCUAACCUUUUAACCUUUUUUUUUUUUUCUUCCUGAAAAUGUUAUGUCUGGCCCACAAGUAUUGAAUAAGCUGAGGCAAUAAGGGAAAGAGGAAUAGAAGAAAGAACUGAGUAGAGCUCUAAUGUUUCUGAUGGAAGGAUGAGGCUUGAGUAGCAAACCAGAAGAAGGAAUUCCAGUCCUAAGAUAAAAUUCAACAGUGCUAUAUAGAAGAUUUCAAAGGCUGCUUACAAGUCUGUUACCUGUAAAUCAAUACCUUCAGCACCAUGUCAGACACAUCAGCUGCAGCAGGCAAUGGCUACAAGCUUUUUUUGUUCCUGCUCAGUGGAACUGCAGGCCAUGGAAACAUUACCAUUCUCAGCACACUAUCAUGCCCAGACUCAUCAGCUGAAGCAAUAAUCAUAUCAUCAGCAAUUAUGUCUUUCCUGGAAGUAUCACCAAGUGACUCAUAAGUCUGCCUGCAAUAUUUCAUGGACACAUUUAAUCUCAAAUGUUAAUCUAGAAAACUGAAUUUGUCCUCCUGGAGUGUUAGAGGUACCUAAAAAGGGACAUGCCUAUGUAAUUUAACCUGCUAGGAUCCAUUUUUCUUAUCUGAAACUAUAAAAAGUUACUUGGCUACUAAUUGAUGUUGAAAAUCUUCUGAUGUAAGUUAGCAGUAAUGAUAGACAUAGCGCUAUUUAAUCUUCCAUUAUGAAACAUACUCUGUGAGUCCCUGUUCUUCACUUUUUUCUUGCACCAUUCAAACUGCUGAUGCAUUCACUAAUGAUACCAUCUUUCUCAGUUCUUUACUGGCUAAGGACAAUAUUUUGCUGCCUUUAUUUGCUCAAACCGUAUUUUAUUGCAUAAAUAGUUGCCUUAACCUUUCUGUUGAUCAUAGUGAAACUACUCAUAUGGCUUACCAAUUGGACUUUAGGUAUUCUUAGUGCAGCAGAAGUUAUCUUACUGCAGCCACAGACCCCACAUACAACCUUAAUUUCAACGUAAAGAUGAUUAGACUCUCCAGUUCCUUUGAAUAUAUCACAAUAAACUAUGACCAUAUCCUCUGUGGGUAUUAAUU
ensembl:lncRNA